rnacentral:rRNA from 1 species
UACGUAGGUGGCAAGCGUUGUCCGGAUUUAUUGGGCGUAAAGCGAGCGCAGGCGGUUUCUUAAGUCUGAUGUGAAAGCCCCCGGCUCAACCGGGGAGGGUCAUUGGAAACUGGGAAACUUGAGUGCAGAAGAGGAGAGUGGAAUUCCAUGUGUAGCGGUGAAAUGCGUAGAUAUAUGGAGGAACACCAGUGGCGAAGGCGGCUCUCUGGUCUGUAACUGACGCUGAGACGCGAAAGCGUGGGGAGCGAACAGG